GACGGACGCUGGCGGCGCGCCUAACACAUGCAAGUCGAACGAGCGAGAGAGAGCUUGCUUUCUCGAGCGAGUGGCGAACGGGUGAGUAACGCGUGAGGAACCUGCCUCAAAGAGGGGGACAACAGUUGGAAACGACUGCUAAUACCGCAUAAGCCCACGACCCGGCAUCGGGUAGAGGGAAAAGGAGCAAUCCGCUUUGAGAUGGCCUCGCGUCCGAUUAGCUAGUUGGUGAGGUAACGGCCCACCAAGGCGACGAUCGGUAGCCGGACUGAGAGGUUGAACGGCCACAUUGGGACUGAGACACGGCCCAGACUCCUACGGGAGGCAGCAGUGGGGAAUAUUGCACAAUGGGGGAAACCCUGAUGCAGCGACGCCGCGUGGAGGAAGAAGGUCUUCGGAUUGUAAACUCCUGUUGUUGAGGAAGAUAAUGACGGUACUCAACAAGGAAGAGACGGCUAACUACGUG
rnacentral:rRNA from 1 species